rnacentral:lncRNA from 1 species
GAUGCCCCCUUCAGCUGCUCUAUCCAGUAUCUACCCUUCAUAAGUCCUCCCUUGGUCCCUACCCACACACAUUUUGGGCUUGUGAUAGAGGGGCUGGUCGGGACUACUAUUUAUGCAGUUAUGGCUUAGUGAUUCUUUCCUGGUCGAAAGCCAUGGAAUAGGUGCCUGGCUGGUACCAAUAUUUUUGAAUGAAGUCCGUGGGGAGCCCCGGAGUCAGGAGGGGCCACGUGAAAGAUACUGUGGGCUCGGUGACUGGCCUCACACUGGCUCACACUGCCCUCUACAGACAGCUCUCGGGCUGCAGCCCAAAUGGCUCCUUGGGACUGCCCUGCUCUCUGUCUCCCUGUCCCCAGAUUGCCCUACUUUCCUCCUGAGCACAGGCCGGUGGCCUAGAAGUAUCCUGGCUUGGGACUGCACCUGCUCCUUAAACUGCUGUGGCCACCGUGGGUCUGACCUUCUAACAAAGGGUCAGAGAAGAGGUGCAGAGCUGUGCAUGAACCAGGGGUCGGAGGCUGCAGCCAUUCCACAGAGCUUAGUGACCUCCUGCUGGGAAAGCAGCCCUCCUCUGGGACAUCAUUCUGAAAGUCAUCUGUGCCUCGGGGCUCUUGGGCCCUCCUUUUCCGGUAACCCUGAGGCCUGCCAGGUUCCUGCGCAUCCUUGACCUUGCACCUGGGAGCCUGAUCCUCCAGCUCAGGGUGAGAGUUCUGUUUUUGCUGGUCUGGGUAUAAAUAUGUCACUUCUAAAGUGUGUGGCCUGGGGCAAGCCUCUUAGCUCCUCAGUGCCUCAAUGUCCUCAUCUUCGAGACGAGGUCAUUUAUUGAGUGGCUGCUGUGUCCAGGGACUCAAGACUUGGGAGUAUUCAAGCAGGCCCAGGGGAGAUAAUGAAUGUAUGGGAUCAUUUUAGAUCAUGUUGAGUACCUGCGGGAAUUAAUUAACAGGCAGAAUGGGAGCGGCUGGGUGUUUGGGGGUUUGGUAAGCAGGCAGGGAAGAAGGGUGUUAGAGGCAAUGACU